rnacentral:rRNA from 1 species
UACAGAGGUCUCAAGCGUUGUUCGGAUUCAUUGGGCGUAAAGGGUGCGUAGGUGGCGCUGUAAGUCGGGUGUGAAAUUUCGGAGCUUAACUCUGAAACUGCACUCGAUACUGCUUUGCUCGAGGACUGGAGAGGAGAUUGGAAUUCACGGUGUAGCAGUGAAAUGCGUAGAUAUCGUGAGGAAGACCAGUGGCGAAGGCGGAUCUCUGGACAGUUCCUGACGCUGAGGCGCGAAGGCCAGGGGAGCAAACGGG